rnacentral:rRNA from 1 species
AGAGCGAACGCUGGCGGCAGGCUUAACACAUGCAAGUCGAGCGCCGUAGCAAUACGGAGCGGCAGACGGGUGAGUAACGCGUGGGAACGUGCCUUCUGGUUCGGAAUAACUCAGGGGAACUUGAGCUAAUACCGAAUAAGCCCCUCGGGGGAAAGAUUUAUCGCCGGAAGAUCGGCCCGCGUAAGAUUAGCUUGUUGGUGAGGUAAUGGCUCACCAAGGCUACGAUCUUUAGCUGGUCUGAGAGGAUGAUCAGCCACACUGGGACUGAGACACGGCCCAGACUCCUACGGGAGCAGCAGUGGGGAAUAGUUGGACAAUGGGCGCAAGCCUGAUCCAGCCAUGCCGCGUGAGUGAUGAAGGCCUUAGGUGUAAGUCUCGUUUAGCGGGACGAUAAGUGACGUACCGCAAGAAAACGCCCGACCAACUUCGUCGCCGAGCGACGCCG